AUCCUUUUGUAGUUCAAGAGCAUGAUGAUUGGGUAAUCAUGUGCGUGUGUGAGAUGUGCCACCCUCUGAACCUCGUUACAGCCUCAGCACAUUACUCGUCUGACC